AUGUGCGGCAUCUUAGCGAGGAGCUGGGCAGGGGGCUACCUCUCGCAGAGGGUUGCCAGCCCGGCUGGAGGACAGCGGGGAGCGUUUGCCGCUGCCCCCCGGCUCGCUGGUGGCCCGGGGAGAUGCGGGCGGCCGUGCGGUGGGACGGGGAGGGCUCCGACACAGCCCCGCCGCCCGGCAGCGCCGAGCACCGCGAGGAGAGACCAGGGGGCAUUUUUGUGGGAGGCUCGUACAAACCCAUGGAAAGCUCGGGAGAGGGAGGGAGGGAAGGGGAGACGGCUCGGGAGAGUGCAAAACCCGUGCUGGAGAGGGAGAACUCGGCUUUGGAAGCAGGGAACUGUAUCUUGCCAAGAUGAACUGCCCAAGGGACAGGAUACCAGUCAGCUACUGUGUUUGCAGCAACAGAGGGGAGAGGGAAUGCCCUUCAUAACACUAUGGUGAGUUACAAGGACUUUCAGAGAGCUUGGUGCUGCAACUGUUUCAUUUUUUACCUGUGGCUAUCCCCUUAACAUCCCACUUCUCCAUAACUAAUUUUUUUCUCAGCCCAGCCUAACUUUCUUUCCUCUAGACCCCAAAAUCGUUUUCCACUUCAGCUCUUCAAACCACCUCCUUCUUUUCCCUACAGGCGUUUAGGACUUUUCACCUAGGACUCAGUACAAGGAGGGUUCUCCCCAGGGCUGUGUGUUCAGCCUUGACCGCAGCUCCUGUGACUCCAGUCUGGCAUUCUGGGAAGUUCUUUGCUCUGGAGGUACAAUGGAUGAAGGUCCAGAUCACGAAGUAGACAGCCCAAAUGACUCCGAAGGUUGAGCUGUAUUGUUUCCCCCCUUCUUUCUAGAAUGUUUAUUGAACACAAGAGUUCAUUAAUUGGAGUAAGACAGUGUAACUCUAUUGCUGCCAGUGGUAUACCACAAUUUAGAGCAACUACAGAUCCAUAUCGUAGUCAAAUGUCAGCCUUAAUGGAGGCAGACACUUCAGCAAAGCAGAAAGCCUGUUAUGGGGCUGGAGAGGAAGGGAUGAGUGCUAGAACUGGAACUUUUUAGAAAUCCGAAAAGCGAGUCAGAUCUGAUUCCAUUUGAGGCUUGUGAUAUUUCUUAUUUUAUCCUGGUGUUUCACCAAUUCCUUGCUAAACAAUAAUAGACGUUUCUACAUAAUUUGAUAUUUAGCCAUUAAAAUGAUUCAGUAUGUAUUACACAUAACUUCAUUAUGAUCCCACCUUAAACCAAGUGCCUGUGUAUAAAGAGUUGAAGUCCAACGUGGGACAAUUGCUCUGCUGCUUUGAAACCCUGGUGUGGUGUGUGCCCAUGUAACGUGGGGCAAUUCCUGGGCUAUUUGCAGCCGUUCCCCGUGGAUCUGGGCCUUUCCCUUUGUUAGACAUCUGUCAUGUGAUCCGUGUGGAUGACUGAAAAGGGCAGCCUUGUAACAACAUUAUUUCAGGAGGAUAAUAAGUAGCCAUCAUAAAUUCCUUUUUUAAUAGUUUAUUGCCGGUUGUAGUCUAUUGACAGUGCCUGUUUUAUAGCAUGGAGGAAAACAGUUCCUUGUUGGUACUAGUCACUAAAACUGUUUGAUAGCUCUGGCCCUUUUUAGUGCCUUCAGAGAAAACCUAGUGUCUCAUGAAAUGAAUCAUAAAUAGCUGAGUUGAAGUUGAACAAAAGACGGAAAGAGGGAGGAAAAAAGAAAACAGUCUUGCACUUACUGAAAUAUGUUUACUUUGGACAAUAAUCUAUUAACUAGUUUAACAAAGAUACUUUAAGGCUCAUUCCUGCUGUUUUAGCUGAAAAAAAUAGAGAUCCAUGAGGACUCUGUCAUGAGCCUUUAUAGGGAGACUGUUUAGCAAAUACUGUCCUUCUUUUAACUCACAGGGUAGUGAGUACAAAGCUGUAACUAGACUUCACCUCUUUGGAAGCAGAAACAACGCAAUCUAAUGCCUAGAGGUGUCUUUUCAUCACCGUCUUAUUGUACAACAUUGGACAGUUUCUGUAAUUUCUUGGGCAGUAUACAAUGAAAUACAUAGGUAUUUAGAGAGGGCUGAGAAGGAACUGCAAUGGGUCCCACAAAACCCCACCUUAGCUGCUGUGUAACUCUCCUGAUGUUUAUAUUUACAGUUCCUAUUCUGAGUCACUUUACUCUGAACCCUACAACUGUUCUUAUUUAAGACUGUUCAAAAUUGAGAAACCUGUGUGUCCUAGUUGGUGGACUUAGCUGGUGUGGUGGAGACCCUGCAGUUGUUACGGGGACUCUCACACAAUUUUCCUAGAGAUUACUGCCCAGUCUUUCCCUCUUUCCUCUAUUUGGCCUGAGACACUAAUUUAAGCUUUCACCAGCUUUCUCCCUAAACAAACCCUCCCUACGCAUCCUGGUUGAGUGGUAAUUUUUAAGUUCAUCCUAAGAGAUACCAGGAAGAUGUGACUAUUUUGACAGAAUUUAUUUUGGAUGAAAUACACUGCCCGCUGCCUCCAUGAAAGACAAGAUGGAGACCAUUUUACAUACAAUGCUGAGACAGAACUGAGAGACCUGGGUUCAAUGUCAUCCCCAGCCCAACAUGCUGAAGUCUACAUGGGACUAUGGGAAGUCUACAUUUCCAUUUGUCAUGAGGGCAUCUCAGCCAUUAAGCUGAGCUGCACUGCAGAAACGAAUAUGAAGGUCAGGGGGAUGGAGCACAGCUCACAAUCCUCAUGUUUUGGGCAUCCAGAGAUGAUUCUGGUACUUGCUUCCUGGUCUGCUACUACUUUGAAUACAAUGCUUUUAAUUCCUCAAAAGAGAACUCAAAGCCUCAGAAGUCCUAUACCUCUCAUGUGGUGAAGGUUUUGAGGCUUCAGCCAUACUCCUUCACUGAGUUAUCAUAAAUUCUUUGCUCCAUACAGCUACAAGAGGAAUGAUGUAUAUCUACACUGUUAUGGAUAAAACAGAUGCAAGUGUGAGCCACCAGUCACUGAGCUAAAACAGGAAGUGAAGCCAUCCUCCAGUCCAAAGUAAAUACUGUAAUCCAUGUUGUUAUUAUUAUUAUUAUUAUUAUUAUUAUUAUUAUUAUUAUUAUUUAGCUAUAAAGCAAAUGAUAACAUUCUUUUCACCCGAGGCAAAUCCCCAGCUUUGUUUGGACCAUAUGACCCAGAAGGGGUGCUGGGCUGUGUUACUCACAUAAGGUGAAGGUAGUUUCGUUCACAGAUAUUCAUAGGUCCUUAAAUUGCAGAAGGCCAGAUGGCUCUUUGGAUGCUCCCUGCCCCUACUGUUCCUUAUUAGCUCAUUCUCUAUAACCCCAUGCUUGAUGUCAGAAUUGCUUGAGCUGCCUUGUAAGGCAUGCAUGUUCUUCUAAGGUCUGAGCAUUUCAUAGUGAACUCUGGAUUUCAGUCCAGACCUAAAUUAGGUGCUGCCUAUCUUCUGCAACAGCUUUCAUUCUUUAUUUUUUCAGAGUCUCAUGAUUUUAUGGAGUGAGAAUCUAUGAUUUAUUUAUUUAUUCCCUGNNNNNNNNNNNNNNNNNNNNNNNNNNNNNNNNNNNUUAUCCCUGUUUAGGAUUAGAUUUCUCUUGAACCUUCUUUUUGGACACUCCUCCUGAACUCCUCCUCAAAUCUACUUCUCCACCAGACAACAUUGUGACUCUAAUUUGCAGUGCUUCUCAGUCCUGUCCUAGGAGCAACUCUGGUCUGAUGAUCUGAAAUUAUGUUCCAGUAACUGUCUCCCACCACCCGUGGUCUCUUUAGUAUUGGUAUCAGAUGGAAGAAGAAGACCUAACAUCUCUGGUUUCAGUGGACGGAGACAGAGAUGCCUGUCUUUAAAAGCUUCUUGUGAAGAGUCACGAUGCUGGAAAUCGCUUACCUCCUGUGGUAUGACCAGAGGUAGACUUCUCUGAGGAGUUUACAAGGUCUGAUCUGUUACAGAAUGGGUUGGAAACCUGAGGAACAAAUAGAGAAGUCCAAGCAGAUGUCAAUAAUAUAUAUCAGAUCACUCCCUCAUUUAUGGUAGGGUUUUUUUUUUCUUGUUUGUUUUGUCUUGUUUUUCCUUUAAUUGGUUGCUAUAUGCUGUGAGCAAGAGCUAAGGGAAUUAAUAAAUGAAAUAAACAUUGCA
ensembl:lncRNA